UACGAAGGGGGCUAGCGUUGCUCGGAAUCACUGGGCGUAAAGGGUGCGUAGGCGGGUCUUUAAGUCAGGGGUGAAAUCCUGGAGCUCAACUCCAGAACUGCCUUUGAUACUGAGGAUCUUGAGUUCGGGAGAGGUGAGUGGAACUGCGAGUGUAGAGGUGAAAUUCGUAGAUAUUCGCAAGAACACCAGUGGCGAAGGCGGCUCACUGGCCCGAUACUGACGCUGAGGCACGAAAGCUGGGGGAGCAAACAGG
rnacentral:rRNA from 1 species